rnacentral:lncRNA from 1 species
UAUAUUUAAUUUUUUUAAAAAAAUAUCUAAUCAGUCGUUUAAAUACCUCAACCUAAUAUUUGAAUAUAGUUUUGUUACCUAAAAUUACCACCUAAGCUAACCACCUAAUCUAAUUACCUAAACUAAUCACAUAAACUAAUUACCUAAACUAACCACCUAAACUAACCACCUAAACCUAAAUUAAUAUUAAAAACAACAUACCUUUCAGAGAAGGAGAGGAGUGGUUUGAGAGGAAUGAAGGAGGAAUGUGUUUCGAGUUUAUAUAAGAAAACAAC